GGGGAUGUUGCGGGACCACUGAGCACCCUCACGUCUCACUUAAGUGAGUUCAGUUCGGCCAGUAGCCGUCACUGUCAACGUCGCACGAGCAUAGAUGUCAAUGGAUGAGGGAGCAUAAAACGAGAACGGACUGUCAUACAGAGAAAGCAAAACGUGGAUUGAAAGCGAAAGUAGUAGUUACUGACCCAUAAAUCUAAAUUGCUUAUUAUACGAUUAUUCUCUUAAACUAUUAUAUAAAAACUAGUAACGUUAAAAUUAAAUAUUAAGUGAUUACAAACUAAAUUAUUGAACAAGAUAGUACAAAAGCUGUUAUUACGGCAAAAGGUAGUGUUAGUUCAUGCUAAUUGAAUUAAAUUUGCCUACAAGACGCUACAAACACAUAAUUGGAGAAAUUGUUUCGGAUAAGGGCAUAGAAG